GCACCUCGCCCGCUCGCCGCCUCCAACAUAGGCUCCAUCCCAUGGAUGCCCUCCACCUCACGGUUUUCACGUCCGCGGCCGCCGUCGGGUGGUGGUCGCGACGAGCCAGAUCUCCUGCCUGGCAGCUUCCCUCCCAUGGAUCGCCGUCGCCCCAUGGUGUUCGUGCCCGCGUUUGUCGCCUAUGGCCUCUGGCAUCGAUCCGCACCUACGACCAGGAGCGAACAACACCUUCCUCCUUUCCAGCAGUGAGACCAUCAUCGCUGAUGUGGGACUUGGUAGAGUCCGCCGCCCCCACCCUUCUUUGUCAGGUGAUGGAGCUAGACAUGCAAGCAUCUAGCAACUAUGCUUUGCUUGGUCUGAAUUGGAUUAUGGUUUUGCAUUGGUGGCUAGCUCGGCCAGUCAAGCCAACAAAUGCAGAAGCCUCUUUAUGACAACAAAGAUUUCAGGCCAUGUGCAUAUCAUGUACUGUUGGGGGAAACAGUCCAAACGGUUGAGAUGGGAUUUCAGACUUGCAAGCAAGUGGAACAACCAAGCACACAAACUGAAGAUUUAUACCAUUUACUGCCACCAAGGACUUAUUAUCUCACCGUUUCAACAAGUUUGGUGUAGUGCUGAAGGUACUCAUUGUCACUAAUGCCGCAACGGACCAGCCAACAGGUUAUAGGUGCUUAACAUUAGAUAAUUGCUCAAUGGCCAAAAAAUGUGAAUACAAUAAUUCAGGGCAUUUUAUACCAUUCUACACUAAGCUUAUGGGAGACGGAGUAGUUGCUGGGCUGUUGAUUGGGGACUGCAGUGACCGGCUGACCGCCUCCGUGUCCAUGCCUCUAGAAUUUGGGACUUCUAUGAUCUUAAAGAUGAGACAAGGCUGCUGCAUAGUGACUUGGUGUUGCUUGAUAUGAUGAAGAGUAUAUGUGUAUGGACUAGACCUAUAUACCGGAUGCUUCAACUGUGGAUGGGUUUGGUACAGUGUCGGUGGUCACCGACUCACCGUGCACAGAGAAGGCUAUUUCAGUUGUUUGUGUUCUAUAUAUCUUGAACUUUCAAAUAGUGUGAAU
rnacentral:misc_RNA from 1 species